rnacentral:lncRNA from 1 species
UUCAAAGAAGCAAAAUGCAGUAAAGAAAGAUAGCAGGACUUGAAAUAUAGCUUUGGCUUUCAGCCAACUAAACAGGCCACAUUACAAGUAGUAAAGCACGAGAUAGUGUUUGAAUGUAAGUGAGAUUUCAGAAUUAAAAGUGUUCGUAUGUGCUAAUGAAAGAGCAAGGUACUUAUAAUUUGAAAACAGGUAGAAAAUAAGGCAAGAAUCAUAGUUUAGCAGUAAUUAUGGAACUAUGUGCUAAUUAAAAUCAAAUCAGUAUAAGCACUUCCUUCAAUUAAGAAGUUAAAAUUUAAACGUUAAUG